rnacentral:tRNA from 1 species
GGGGCCAUAGUUCAAUUGGUAGAACGCCUGCUUUGCAAGCAGGAGGUCAGCGGUUCGAUCCCGCUUGGCUCCACCA